rnacentral:rRNA from 1 species
AGAAUCAACGCUGGCGGCGUGCCUAACACAUGCAAGUCGAACGAGAAAGUGGUAGCAAUACCAUGAGUAAAGUGGCGCACGGGUGAGUAACACGUGACUAACCUACCCUAGAGUGGGGGAUAACCUCGGGAAACCGGGGCUAAUACCGCAUAACAUCGCAAGGGGAAGAUCCUUGCGAUCAAAGGAGCAAUUCGCUCAAGGAGGGGGUCGCGGCUGAUUAGCUAGUUGGUGAGGUAACGGCCCACCAAGGCUUAGAUCAGUAGCCGGCCUGAGAGGGCGCACGGCCACACUGGAACUGAAACACGGUCCAGACUCCUACGGGAGGCAGCAGUGGGGAAUUUGCGCAAUGGGGAAACCCUGACGCAGCAACGCCGCGUGGAGGAUGAAGUCCCUUGGGAUGUAAACUCCUUUCGAUCGGGACGAUUAUGACGGUACCGGAAGAAGAAGCACCGGCUAACUCUGCGCCAGCAGCCGCGGUAA